CCUAAGAUUUGAUUGUCAACCCUAAUAUAAUCGAUCACAUUAUAUUUCAAUCUUUCAAAUCCAUCACAUGGAUUACUCUAGCUAAAAUUUUACUAAAUUAAAAUAUACUGAUGCAUAUCUCCUACUAAUUUAGAGGGAUCAAUUCCUUCUUGACUCACACAUCGACUUGAUAAGUACUUGACUGCAUCCAGUAUCUUUCCAUCAUUGAAUUAAAAACUCAGAUGGUUUGGCACUAAAGUACAGUGAGUUGCUUACAA
rnacentral:lncRNA from 1 species